GUCCAGGGAUGGGAAUCGAACCCACAGUGCUCCGCUAACCUGGCAGACACCAUGGUCCACUAGGCUACCCUGGA